rfam:Thiobacillus sp. SCN 65-179 ABT21_C0002, whole genome shotgun sequence.
ACCGAACAGGGCAAACCCGCCGCGAGGCGGGGACGCAAAGUUUCCGGUCUCGUUCCUGACGGCGCGAGAUAGCGGGGCCGCCGGCC